rnacentral:rRNA from 1 species
CAGGUAGGACUACCCGCUGAACUUAAGCAUAUCAAUAAGCGGAGGAAAAGAAACUAACAAGGAUUCCCCUAGUAACUGCGAGUGAACCGGGAAAAGCUCAAAUUUUGAAUCUGGCGGUCCUUCGGGCCGUCCGAGUGUA